rnacentral:rRNA from 1 species
AGAGUUUGAUCCUGGCUCAGGACGAACGCUGGCGGCGUGCCUAAUACAUGCAAGUUGAGCGCUGAAGGUUGGUACUUGUACCAACUGGAUGAGCAGCGAACGGGUGAGUAACGCGUGGGGAAUCUGCCUUUGAGCGGGGGACAACAUUUGGAAACGAAUGCUAAUACCGCAUAAAAACUUUAAACACAAGUUUUAAGUUUGAAAGAUGCAAUUGCAUCACUCAAAGAUGAUCCCGCGUUGUAUUAGCUAGUUGGUGAGGUAAAGGCUCACCAAGGCGAUGAUACAUAGCCGACCUGAGAGGGUGAUCGGCCACAUUGGGACUGAGACACGGCCCAAACUCCUACGGGAGGCAGCAGUAGGGAAUCUUCGGCAAUGGACGAAAGUCUGACCGAGCAACGCCGCGUGAGUGAAGAAGGUUUUCGGAUCGUAAAACUCUGUUGGUAGAGAAGAACGUUGGUGAGAGUGGAAAGCCCAUCAAGUGACGGUAACUACCCAGAAAGGGACGGCUAACUACGUGCCAGCAGCCGCGGUAAUACGUAGGUCCCGAGCGUUGUCCGGAUUUAUUGGGCGUAAAGCGAGCGCAGGUGGUUUAUUAAGUCUGGUGUAAAAGGCAGUGGCUCAACCAUUGUAUGCAUUGGAAACUGGUAGACUUGAGUGCAGGAGAGGAGAGUGGAAUUCCAUGUGUAGCGGUGAAAUGCGUAGAUAUAUGGAGGAACACCGGUGGCGAAAGCGGCUCUCUGGCCUGUAACUGACACUGAGGCUCGAAAGCGUGGGGAGCAAACAGGAUUAGAUACCCUGGUAGUCC